CGCCAGGGAAUUACGAGCUUUAGCUUAAAACCCAAAGGACUUGACGGUGCCCCACCCAGCUAGAGGAGCCUGUUCUAUAAUCGAUGAUCCCCGCUUAACCUAACCCUUUCUUGCUUUAUCAGCCUGUAUACCUCCGUCGUAAACCCGCCAUAUGAAUGUUUUAGCGGAUUCAAUGGCCUUAGCCACCAGCACGUCAGGUCAAGGUGCAGCCAAUGAAAGGGGUAAGCAAUGGGCUACAAUUUCUAAUCUAGAACAUACGAACUACUGCAUGAAAACACAGUCAUGAAGGAGGAUUUAGUAGUAAAAAGAAAUCAGCGAGUUCUUUUUAACAUGGCCCUGGGGCGUG
rnacentral:rRNA from 1 species